rnacentral:rRNA from 1 species
UGUCACAGUCAUCACCCUGCAGCCCAAGACUGGUUAGUCACUGAAGCUAAGCAGAACUAAGUCUGGUCAGUACCUAGAUAAAAGAACACUUGGGAACACUAGAUUGCUGUUGGAA